rnacentral:rRNA from 1 species
UACGUAGGGUGCGAGCGUUAAUCGGAAUUACUGGGCGUAAAGCGUGCGCAGGCGGCUCGUUAAGUCAGAUGUGAAAGCCCCGGGCUCAACCUGGGAACUGCAUUUGAAACUGGCGGGCUUGAGUAUGGCAGAGGGGGGUGGAAUUCCGCGUGUAGCAGUGAAAUGCGUAGAGAUGCGGAGGAACACCGAUGGCGAAGGCAGCCCCCUGGGCCAAUACUGACGCUCAGGCACGAAAGCGUGGGGAGCAAACAGG